ACAUUUUGUCUUCCUGACAUUAAGCCUACUUUUUCCAUAAUAUCUAAUGGUGAAACCAUGCUUCCAUGAAUAAAGAUUGUAAAAACCAUAGGUUUCUUACAUAGGGUCUAGUGUUAGCCCAAUAGCACCGUGCUCACCCAACUAAUCUGUAUACCCCUAAAUCAUUUGCUCCAGUGCACAAAUUCUUCCCAGACAUAGUGUCCGGUCCUGUAAUUUCAGCGGAGCGGAGAGUGUCGAGCCUGCUGGGACAGGGUGUCCUGUAAUUUCAGCGGAGCGGAGAGUGUGCCGAGCCCGCUGGGACAGGGUGUCCUGUAAUUUCAGUGCAGCGGAGAGUUAGCAUACUCCAUAAAAUGUACUGUAUAAACUUAAUCAAGCUCUGCAAUGACAUGACGAAAUCGUGUGUUUCUAAUCUACGUCAUAUUUUACUCUGAAAAUUUAGUCGGCAAUUAGCAUACAUGUUCACACACUGUCCAUGACCUACAAUCUAAUUUUAAAUGAUCAAUAUUCUGACUCUGUUGGAUCGAUGACCUCUUACUCUAACUCUGAAAAUUCCAUGAGCAGUGACACACUUCGUCAGACAUCGUGUGUAAACUAAGGAAUCUUCAGUCAAUGGUUCUACUGCUUCAUGCCCGAUGGAUGACUCUUUACUGAAACAUUGAAAACUAUGUGUGCACUUGCCAUAGAUGUGUUUACCACGAAAAACAAGCAAAAUGGCAUGUCUUACCUGAUACCAAAACCAUGCUCCCACGAAUAAAGGUUGCAAAAAUCAUAUGCUUCACCCAAGGAGUUGAAUGUUAAGCCAAUAGCAGGCUCAACUACAUGGUCUCCCAAUUUAUCUGCAUGCCCUCGAAUUGUCUCCUCCAGCGCGUCUAAUCUUUCUGGGCAUGGGGCUCUAUCCAUUGGCUGAUUCCCGACUCUUACUCUGCAACAACAUGAAGCAAAAUUCUUAUAUAUGAAAUACCAAUCAUUUUUUGUACAUCUGUCUAGUUUUUUUGGUAACAAGAAACUAAUUCAGGGGAAAUGCAAGAUCUAACACAUGGCAGUACAACUACAACACUCAUAUCCAUCACAAUAUUUCCAGUUCUAUUUACUUUCUCAUAGUCCACGCAACCAAAACAAAAAAGCUGGGCUACUCUGACAAUGCCUCAGGGGAUCAUAUGAAACUACAAUGACCAAGACAUCAUCGCAACUCUGGUUUUGCUACACACCAUUUACCUCUUAUAAGUAAAUGCCUAUUACCUCUAAGUCCACCCAGGGGCUUGCGGAUCCACCUUGCAAGUAGUAGAUUGAGCAGACCCUCCAUCACCACUUUCAGUUCGAUCUUAAAUCACAGCCUCUUGGUGUUCAUCAAUAUGUGCUUUGGUCGUCGGCUUGGUCAAUUGCAUCUGCGUUGUCACCCUCGCUCUUACUGAAACCGGACAUGGCGGCACCACCGGUAGCUACAGUCCUCUCCUUGCUGCACACAACACCACGUACGAACUGCCCAGAUGAGUCAUGCGCAAAUCCGGCGACAACAGCCCCACAAGAUCCAUUGGCGGAUUCCUCUUCGCCACCAAUCAAAUCCAUUAGGGCCACCGCGCUAGCCGCCUCAUCCAGGAAGAUGGGCAACCUGCACGCGUUGAACUAAAGCUCUAAGAUCUCUCUGAUGCUGGAUAGUAAAUGGAAGAAGAUUUCUUUUCCAAGAAGGGGAUUUCUGACCUGUCUACCGGAGAGAUGGGAAAUCCAUCGCCAUGUCUGCGCCGCUGGAAAUCGGACACCCGCGCUGUCAACGCUCGUCCUCGAGCACACCGCUGAAACACCCUCCGGGAGCUAAAACGCCUCUCCCUGUUGUUUUAUGAUCACUACUUGUGAAAGAAGAUCAUACUCUGUUUCUUCAAACCAAUUCCAAUAAUAAUCAAUAGACAUGUAUUUCUCUAGGAAGAAAAGCAAUACACAUGAGUGCCUCAAGAUCAAGGGCCAACUGUUCUGGAAAAUAUCAUAGCAUAUAUCAUAUUUUUUAUAAAUCUGUACUAAAAAGGGAUGCACGUACACUUAUAUUGGCUUGAUCACCUAUAAAAUCAGAUCUUACUACUGGACAUUGGUACUCUCAGAUGCUUCCCAUUAAACAUCAUGCAAUUUAUGAAUUACCACUGCCCUAGGCACUCCAUAGUCCAGCUAUCUUGCUUGUGACGAUCUUAUAUGUGCUCAGCAUAUCAUCCUAAUAUACAGCUACAGGACCGCGAAGUAAAAGCAGAGAGAAAGAUUAUAGGGAAGAAAGGGUGAACAAAAAUUAGCUAGUGCGCGCGGGCUAGCAGCUCAUAUGAUGAGGAAAGGCACUACAUGGAGAAGGUUUCGGCAACAACUUCAAAUAAUGCGGAAUAGAAGGCAAUCACAUUUGAAAUGAUAGGAGACAAAUUGUAUCAAGUUAUUUGAGUGAUAGAGGCUAUAAUACUACUUCGAGGGGCUGGUAUUGGCAAUGUGAGAUGGCACAAUGAGAUUCUGUUUAUACCAGAAAAAAAGGAUCGACAGAGGUGUGGGGAGGCAUGCAUUCGACCACUCGCCAUGCAGUUAUAAGUUGUUGAAGCUUAGUUGAUUGUUACCAUCAUCAUACUGUAAAAUGACUUAUGCGUCAACCUGCAUACUUAUGCAUGUCUAUCUAGCAGUGUAUAAUUGGUAUAAGCACACGACGAUUAGUUAUGCUAAAAAACAGCACAUUUUAGAACUGAUAAGGUUUGCUUUUCUCAAGCUAUUCAUCAUCUAAUAUGCAGGUAAUCCAGCAAUACUAUCAAACUUAAAAGGCCAACAAUAAUAAAUAGCUAAGCUGCUUACUGCUCACGGCUUCAUGCAUAUAUUCUCCAUGGCUGCCACGGUGUCAUUGCACCUGAAUCAAAAACAGCAACUUCACAUGAGUCACCAAUGGCAUCGUUGAAUACAUCAUAUGUAAGUCAAAAGUAUGCACCAUGCAUGAGCAGAAAAAUUAUGCAUAGACAAAUGGAAGGUGCAUAUCCUAUACUUAAGUUGUACCAAAAUACCGAAUAAUGCAGGUGCCCCCUGAAUCAGUAAGAGUAAGCCUUCAUGAACUUCAAGACGUAACAAAUAUCCCUAUGCUCACACUACCAAAAGUUUCCUUUUAGGACCUUCUGCUACAGGUACGCCCCCAAUUUUAUUAUCCUUCAUGAACUUAAAUCUUCUAAGAUUAGAUCAUCACUGUUAACCGUAAUAACCUGAAGAAAACACGUUUGUACAUAUAUUAAUAAGGAGCAACACAAAUCCAAAUAUCCAUUUGCUCCUCCUUCACGAACUCAGAUCCAAUAUCGUCUGCUCCUACCACAAGGAAACGUCAUUCGGACUUAAGAAGUAUAGAACUACUUAUGGGAGGGAGAAGAUCAGAGAAAGAAAGAGAUGCACAUAUAAGUUGCGUUCAUCGCACAAUAAAGAUGUGGAUCUCUUGGUGCCUGUGAUACAUACCAUGAAAAAGGCAUGGUCAUCGCCAUCGGUUGGAGGCACAAAGAUCGCCACCAGCGGACGGGGCUGGCCGCGAGGCAGUUUGGCGGUGGCCGUGCGUGACAGGAGUUUCCUGGCCUUCCGGUGCUUCUCGUCCUCGUCCUCGUAGUCGACGUUGUCCUCCUCGUCCUCGAACUCGAAGGUGCAGCCCC
rnacentral:lncRNA from 1 species